rnacentral:rRNA from 1 species
UGCGUAGGCGGCUUGUUAAGUCAGAUGUGAAAGCCCCGGGCUUAACCCGGGAACUGCAUUUGAUACUGGCAGGCUAGAGUAUGAUAGAGGGGGGUAGAAUUCCUGGUGUAGCGGUGAAAUGCGUAGAUAUCAGGAGGAAUACCAGUGGCGAAGGCGGCCCCCUGGAUCAAUACUGACGCUGAGGUACGAAAGCGUGGGUAGCGAACA